rnacentral:rRNA from 1 species
GGGGCUGAAGUAGGUCCCAAGGGUAUGGCUGUUCGCCAUUUAAAGUGGUACGCGAGCUGGGUUUAGAACGUCGUGAGACAGUUCGGUCCCUAUCUGCCGUGGGCGCUGGAGAACUGAGGGGGGCUGCUCCUAGUACGAGAGGACCGGAGUGGACGCAUCACUGGUGUUCGGGUUGUCAUGCCAAUGGCACUGCCCGGUAGCUAAAUGCGGAAGAGAUAAGUGCUGAAAGCAUCUAAGCACGAAACUUGCCCCGAGAUGAGUUCUCCCUGACCCUUUAAGGGUCCUGAAGGAACGUUGAAGACGACGACGUUGAUAGGCCGGGUGUGUAAGCGCAGCGAUGCGUUGAGCUAACCGGUACUAAUGAACCGUGAGGCUUAACCUU